CCGAGUUUACAACUCCCAAACCCAAUGUGAACCGUACCAAACCGUUGCCUCGGCGGGGUCACGCCCCGGGCGCGUCGCAGCCCCGGAACCAGGCGCCCGCCGGAGGGACCAACCAAACUCUCUUUGAAGUCCCCUCGCGGACGUUAUUCCUUACAGCUCUGAGCAAAAAAAAUUCAAAAUGAAUCA
rnacentral:misc_RNA from 2 species